rnacentral:lncRNA from 1 species
UGACCGAAUGGGUCGUGGACCUGCAGCUAAAAAGUUCUGAGAAACAUACGAGGGUUAUAUGCAAAAAAUAUGACGACCCCUUUAGCCAGCUUGUCAUGCCACGGUGGAUUUUGUACUAAUCUGCUCCCCCUUACUAAGUUGAUGGAUGAUUAAUUCAGAUUUUACAAGUCUUUUUAUGAAAAUGUGCAUACCAGUUUCAUGGGUAAAGGAUCGCAAAAAUAAAAGUGUCAUUUUUUGAGAAAUCAACGGGGGAGGUAAUCCCCACCUGAAUACCGAGAGGCCGGAGCAAGAACAUAUGAAAAAAAAGCGUCAUUAGGCAAUCAUAACGAUGAUCAUAAAAAAAACUGCAUAAAAAAUGCCGUUGCUACGGGCAGGAACCGUAUAAUAAUUCUCAGUGGGCUUUUGUGCGGACA